rnacentral:rRNA from 1 species
UACGUAGGGUGCGAGCGUUAAUCGGAAUUACUGGGCGUAAAGCGUGCGCAGGCGGCUUCGCAAGUCAGACGUGAAAUCCCCGGGCUUAACCUGGGAAUGGCGUUUGAAACUACGGAGCUGGAGUGUGGCAGAGGGAGGUAGAAUUCCACGUGUAGCGGUGAAAUGCGUAGAUAUGUGGAGGAAUACCGAUGGCGAAGGCAGCCUCCUGGGCCAACACUGACGCUCAUGCACGGAAAGCGUGGGGGAGCAAACAGG